UGCAUCAGUGGCAAAAUGCAGUC
rnacentral:piRNA from 1 species